UACGUAUGGUGCAAGCGUUAUCCGGAUUUACUGGGUGUAAAGGGAGCGCAGGCGGUGCGGCAAGUCUGAUGUGAAAGCCCGGGGCUUAACCCCGGUACUGCAUUGGAAACUGUCGUACUAGAGUGUCGGAGGGGUAAGUGGAAUUCCUAGUGUAGCGGUGAAAUGCGUAGAUAUUAGGAGGAACACCAGUGGCGAAGGCGGCUUACUGGACGAUAACUGACGCUGAGGCUCGAAAGCGUGGGGAGCAAACAGG
rnacentral:rRNA from 1 species